rnacentral:rRNA from 1 species
UACAGAGGUCCCAAGCGUUACUGAGAAUCACUGGGCUUAAAGGGCGCGUAGGCGGUCCGUUAAGUCAGUUGUGAAAUCCCCGGGCUCAACCCGGGAACUGCUUCUGAUACUGGCGGACUUGAGGCCAGUAGGGGUCACUAGAACUGACGGUGGAGCGGUGAAAUGCGUAGAUAUCGUCAGGAAUGCCGGUGGUGAAGACGGGUGACUGGGCUGGUUCUGACACUGAGGCACGAAAGCGUGGGGAGCGAACGGG